rnacentral:rRNA from 1 species
UACGUAGGCAGCGAGCGUUGUUCGGAGUUACUGGGCGUAAAGCGUGCGUAGGCGGUUGUCUAAGUUUGGUGUGAAAUCUCCCGGCUUAACUGGGAGGGUGCGCCGAAAACUGGAAGGCUUGAGUAUGGGAGAGGUAAGCGGAAUUCCUGGUGUAGCGGUGAAAUGCGUAGAUAUCAGGAGGAACACCUGCGGUGUAGACGGCUUACUGGACCAUAACUGACGCUGAGGCACGAAAGCGUGGGUAGCAAACAGG